rnacentral:tRNA from 1 species
GGAGGCUUAGCUCAGCUGGGAGAGCAUCUGCCUUACAAGCAGAGGGUCGGGGGUUCGAUCCCCUCCGCCGCUACCA